rnacentral:rRNA from 1 species
AUUGAACGCUGGCGGCAUGCCUUACACAUGCAAGUCGAACGGUAACAGCUCUUCGGAGGCUGACGAGUGGCGAACGGGUGAGUAAUACAUCGGAACGUGCCCGAUCGUGGGGGAUAACGGAGCGAAAGCUUUGCUAAUACCGCAUACGAUCUACGGAUGAAAGCAGGGGACCCUCGGGCCUUGCGCGAACGGAGCGGCCGAUGGCAGAUUAGGUAGUUGGUGGGAUAAAGCUUACCAAGCCGACGAUCUGUAGCUGGUCUGAGAGGACGACCAGCCACACUGGGACUGAGACACGGCCCAGACACCUACGGGAGCAG